rnacentral:rRNA from 1 species
UACGAAGGUCCCAAGCGUUGUUCGGAUUUACUGGGCGUAAAGCGUGCGUAGGCGGCAAAGUAAGUCAGAUGUGAAAUCCCGGGGCUCAACCCCGGAACUGCAUCCGAUACUGCUUUGCUAGAGUAAUGGAGGGGCAUCUGGAAUUCAUGGUGUAGCAGUGAAAUGCGUAGAUAUCAUGAGGAACACUAGUGGCGAAGGCGAGAUGCUGGACAUUUACUGACGCUGAGGUACGAAGGCCAGGGUAGCGAAAAGG